rnacentral:rRNA from 1 species
UGGCUCAGAUUGAACGCUGGCGGCAGGCCUAACACAUGCAAGUCGAACGGUAACAGGAAACAGCUUGCUGUUUCGCUGACGAGUGGCGGACGGGUGAGUAAUGUCUGGGAAACUGCCUGAUGGAGGGGGAUAACUACUGGAAACGGUAGCUAAUACCGCAUAACGUCGCAAGACCAAAGAGGGGGACCUUCGGGCCUCUUGCCAUCGGAUGUGCCCAGAUGGGAUUAGCUAGUAGGUGGGGUAACGGCUCACCUAGGCGACGAUCCCUAGCUGGUCUGAGAGGAUGACCAGCCACACUGGAACUGAGACACGGUCCAGACUCCUAUGGGAGGCAGCAGUGGGGAAUAUUGCACAAUGGGCGCAAGCCUGAUGCAGCCAUGCCGCGUGUAUGAAGAAGGCCUUCGGGUUGUAAAGUACUUUCAGCGGGGAGGAAGGGAGUAAAGUUAAUACCUUUGCUCAUUGACGUUACCCGCAGAAGAAGCACCGGCUAACUCCGUGCCAGCAGCCGCGGUAAUAUGGAGGGUGCAAGCGUUAAUCGGAAUUACUGGGCGUAAAGCGCACGCAGGCGGUUUGUUAAGUCAGAUGUGAAAUCCCCGGGCUCAACCUGGGAACUGCAUCUGAUACUGGCAAGCUUGAGUCUCGUAGAGGGGGGUAGAAUUCCAGGUGUAGCGGUGAAAUGCGUAGAGAUCUGGAGGAAUACCGGUGGCGAAGGCGGCCCCCUGGACGAAGACUGACGCUCAGGUGCGAAAGCGUGGGGAGCAAACAGGAUUAGAUACCCUGGUAGUCCACGCCGUAAACGAUGUCGACUUGGAGGUUGUGCCCUUGAGGCGUGGCUUCCGGAGCUAACGCGUUAAGUCGACCGCCUGGGGAGUACGGCCGCAAGGUUAAAACUCAAAUGAAUUGACGGGGGCCCGCACAAGCGGUGGAGCAUGUGGUUUAAUUCGAUGCAACGCGAAGAACCUUACCUGGUCUUGACAUCCACAGAACUUUCCAGAGAUGGAUUGGUGCCUUCGGGAACUGUGAGACAGGUGCUGCAUGGCUGUCGUCAGCUCGUGUUGUGAAAUGUUGGGUUAAGUUCCGCAACGAGCGCAACCCUUAUCCUUUGUUGCCAGCGGUCCGGCCGGGAACUCAAAGGAGACUGCCAGUGAUAAACUGGAGGAAGGUGGGGAUGACGUCAAGUCAUCAUGGCCCUUACGACCAGGGCUACACACGUGCUACAAUGGCGCAUACAAAGAGAAGCGACCUCGCGAGAGCAAGCGGACCUCAUAAAGUGCGUCGUAGUCCGGAUUGGAGUCUGCAACUCGACUCCAUGAAGUCGGAAUCGCUAGUAAUCGUGGAUCAGAAUGCCACGGUGAAUACGUUCCCGGGCCUUGUACACACCGCCCGUCACACCAUGGGAGUGGGUUGCAAAAGAAGUAGGUAGCUUAACCUUCGGGAGGGCGCUUACCACUUUGUGAUUCAUGACUGAAGUGAAG